rnacentral:rRNA from 1 species
GUGAGACAGGUGCUGCAUGGCUGUCGUCAGCUCGUGUUGUGAAAUGUUAAAAUAAGUCCCGCAACGAGCGCAACCCUUAUCCUUUGUUGCCAGCGGUUCGGCCGGGAACUCAAAGGAGACUGCCAGUGAUAAACUGGAGGAAGGUGGGGAUGACGUCAAGUCAUCAUGGCCCUUACGAGUAGGGCUACACACGUGCUACAAUGGCGCAUACAAAGAGAAGCGACCUCGCGAGAGCAAGCGGACCUCAUAAAGUGCGUCGUAGUCCGGAUUGGAGUCUGCAACUCGACUCCAUGAAGUCGGAAUCGCUAGUAAUCGUAGAUCAGAAUGCUACGGUGAAUACGUUCCCGGGCCUUGUACACACCGCCCGUCACACCAUGGGAGUGGGUUGCAAAAGAAGUAGGUAGCUUAACCUUCGGGAGGGCGCUUACCACUUUGUGAUUCAUGACUGGGGUGAAGUCGAACAAGAACAGGCCCC